rnacentral:tRNA from 1 species
UCAAAUCAACUUGAAUUGCACAAGUAAUUUCUUAAUGUAAAUAAGAAAUAAUUCUAAAUUAUGAUCUG